ensembl:lncRNA
GUGUCUUUAAUCCAGAAAGUCACACAAUGAGCACGUGAUUCUAAGAUGCAUAUCCAUUGACCUUAAACUCCUUACCACACUUCCAAGGAAUCACUUUCAACAAGGUAUCUGACUUAAACGCUUGUCACUUAGUCGUGUCCAGCUCUUUGUAACUCCAUGGACUGUAGCCCACCAGGCUCCUCUGUCCAUGGGAUUUUUCAGGCCAAAAAUACUGGAGUGGGUUGCCAUUUCCUACUCUAAGGGAUCUUACCAACCCAGGAACUGAACCCACAUCUCCUGUGUCUUCUACAUUGCAGGCAAAUUCUUUACCUGCUGAGCCAUCUGGGAAGUCAAAAACAAGAACCAUGGUUGGUUUGAAUCAGUUGGUGCUAUGCAAAAGAGAUGGAAAAAAGAAUAUAAGUCCUUCCACUGUGAAGAAACAGUUCACACUAGGAUAGAAGUGGGUAACAGCAGUGGAAUGAGGUAAUUUUAAGAUAUUCUCGAGGCAAAAAUUAAUAUUCUCCAAAGUAUUUUGGUAACAGGCACAUUUUAAAUUUUCCUGUGUAAGUGGGUUUUUGCAAAUCAAUAACUAAGCCCAGAGGUCUGAGAUUAUGGGAACAAAUCUAGUUUGUUUUAUAUGGUUUCCAUAAACCUUAAAAUAUUACUGUGAGAGGAAGAAAAGUUCAUGGCUUUAAUCUAUCAGCGUCACUGCAUAGUAGAUCUAGAAGGUUUUCUAGGAUAUCUUAGGGUUCUCAGACAAGAUGAAGCCAUUUCCUUCCUUUACAUGACAGAUAAACAGGCAUUCCUUGGAUUGCACAAAGUUUAAGGAUUGUAGUCUAAAGGAAAGUGGCUAGACAUUUUGUACAAAAUAAUGAUAUUGGAUUUGCAGCUAAAUGGGUUUGGACUUAGUUGGAAGUUGGCUGGGCAAUGAACUGAGUGUGUCUGUCCUUUACAGACGAUUUCUCUACAAAAAUAGCUGGCGGCAAAGAUGUGGUCUUGUUUGAGUUCAGUCUCACAUUAGUGAAAGACUCUAGAAAAUACAGGGAACUAGUGAAAAAAAGAUACGUGUUCUUUGGGGAUAUCAUAACAUGUUUACUUCAGCUCUUUCUUUAAUCCAGUAAAAG